rnacentral:vault_RNA from 1 species
GGACAGGCGUAGCCAUGUGGAUACUUCGUGAACAAUUAUUAUUAUUAUUAUCCUUGGUUGGAACCUCGGAUGAAUCCACUAGCACUGUCCUGUCUUUUG